GAAAGAAAGGAAAGAAAAAGAAGGAAAGCAAGCAAGGAAGCAAGUAGCCAAAGCCCUGGGAACCCAUCGAGGAAUGGCCCCGGAGGCAGAGUUACCCUCAGCUCUGAUGGAAAGCCUUGCUCCAAUCUGAAUUCUGGUCUUCCAAGAAAAAUCACAAGCAAUGACAGGCUCUUUAAUAUGGGUUCCAGCCACAGGCCAGAGAUCAAACGUCGCUGAACCAGUGUGAGGAAAAGAAUGGCAGGCAGACGUCUUCUUUUUCCGCACACAGACUGUAAUCAGCUCUCCACAAGGUCAUCCCAGAACACCAAGGACAGUCCAGAUACCUCCAGGCUCUCCUCAGUAAUGGACGGAAGCAGUGGUGCAGAUAAUCUGCCCAAAUGGCGGGCUCCAGUUCUCCCUGGAUUCCAGGAACACCAUCUCCUUCCUCGUCCCUUCCAUCCCAGGGAAGGUUUACACUGAAAAUUUUUUGUGAUGAAAAGAUUUGAAGAAGAUGACAGGAGAUGGAGAAGCACCAGCUGAUCUGCAGACUCCAAGGAGGUCCCAGGAAGAGGUGUCAUCCACUAAGAUCUUCUGGGACAGGAAAGCCCUGUGAUACCUCUUACAUCACACCAAACAGAGCCCCAC
rnacentral:lncRNA from 1 species